UCCCUGAAGGACUAGUGGUUAGGCCCCAGUGCUCUCACUGCUACGACCUCGGUUCGAUUCCCGGUUAGGGAA